GACGAACGCUGGGGGCGUGCUUAACACAUGCAAGUCGAACGGAAAGGCCUCUUUCGGGGGGUACUCGAGUGGCGAACGGGUGAGUAACACGUGAGUAACCUGCCCUUGACUUUGGGAUAACUUCAGGAAACUGGGGCUAAUACCGGAUAGGAGCUCCUGCUGCAUGGUGGGGGUUGGAAAGUUUCGGCGGUUGGGGAUGGACUCGCGGCUUAUCAGCUUGUUGGUGGGGUAGUGGCUUACCAAGGCUUUGACGGGUAGCCGGCCUGAGAGGGUGACCGGCCACAUUGGGACUGAGAUACGGCCCAGACUCCUACGGGAGGCAGCAGUGGGGAAUAUUGCACAAUGGGUGGAAGCCUGAUGCAGCAACGCCGUGUGCGGGAUGACGGCCUUCGGGUUGUAAACCGCUUUCGCUCAUGACGAAGCUUUGUGUGACGGUAGUGGGUAAAGAAGCACCGGCUAACUACGUG
rnacentral:rRNA from 1 species